AGCUAUGAUCACACCACUGCACUCCAGCCUGGGUGUCAGAGCAAGACUCUGGUUUGUUUGUUUGUUUAUUUGUUUGUUAAAGCUAUUCUGUAGGGCAGAGGGCACUAUUCCAGAGUCUGAUGCAAGAGAAGAUAAGGAAGACAAGAUCUCAACCACUUUCAGCAAAGCUUUGCGGAGAAUGCAACAUCCUUCAAGACACCAUGAAGCUCCACGCAUCUGGUCAUCUUGUUUCUUCAGGGAAUAAAUUUAUUGUUCUCUGCUUCAGGGCAGGCACACUUGGCCAGUAAAGAAAAUCCCCCCAGCAGAGAAUUGCAGAUACUCACAGCAAGAAGCCUUUCUUGUGAAUGGAGGAUGGAUGUGGAGCUGGUCCGAGCAGUCUGCCUACUGCAUCUGCUAUGACACCCAGCAAACUGGAAGGGAAAAGCAGUUACAAAGUUUCCAACCAGCACAAAUUCCAUAGUCAGGUUUUCCACAUGUGGGGAAAUGACAGGGGUCAGCACAUCCAACGUGCAAUGGACAAGCCUUGCACUGGGUAAACCACGUUCAUGGUCAUGGAAUCUCAUUUACCAGAAAGACCAUCUGGAAAAAAUCUCCAGGGCCACACCUCUGAUGUCUUCUUUGCAAUAGGCAGCUUGACUGCAGCGUUGCAUUGCAGAAAGAGAUUGAAGAUAUUUACAUUUAUUGUAAAUUUUGAUUUGAGGAAGCCGCAGGGUUGACAACCAUACUUGAUGCUGAAAUGCUGGGAAAUUCCUCAAGGCUCAGCAAGAUAAUCUAGAAUCUAAAUUAACCACAGAGAAUUACUAUAAAGAAAUAGUGCUCCACCAUGAGGCACAUUAUCCAUGACCUUAAAGACAUUUUCUUAGAACAGUACCUCACAGUUCCUAAAUGUUCUUAAACAGUCAAAAGCAGUUCACUGGUGGCCUCGGUCAUAGAACAGCUUACACUGAACACCAUGCCAAUGUGUACUCAGCUGACUUAUUCAAUCCUGAUACAUUCUCUGCCAACCUUCAUUGUUGGAGGUUAAGGCCAAAACGCAGAAAAAAAGACAAAGAGCUUCCACCCACCACGUAUAAAACUCCCUAUUUAUCUCACUUAAAGUUUUUUUUUCUUACUGUCUACAUGUUACUGAAGGUCCUGUGUAUUCUUCCUUUUGAUGAAGUUUGAGAAUGAAAGCUAUGAAAUUGGAUGAAAGUGUCUCAAACCACAACUAAGAAGCACUUCAACGGACCAGAGGUCAAGUAACUUUACACUGCUUAACAUAAAUGUUGAUAUAAAAUAGGAUCUUAAUUUAACAGUAGACACAUAUAUAAAAAAGCUAUACAUAAAGCCAGAACUUCCUACAAGUACCUAAAAACCACUGAAAAUGCCUAAUAGUUUUUCUUUUUAUAUCUGAUAUUUAGAGGAAAAGCUGUGAGUUGUAUUUUGGCCACUUAAUCACUGAA
rnacentral:lncRNA from 1 species